rnacentral:rRNA from 1 species
GCACAACGCGAAGAACCUUACCUACUCUUGACAUCUAGCGAGGAUUGCAGAGAUGCAGUUGUGCCUUCGGGAACGCUAAGACAGGUGCUGCAUGGCUGUCGUCAGCUCGUGUUGUGAAAUGUUGGGUUAAGUCCCGCAACGAGCGCAACCCUUAUCCUUAGUUGCCAGCACGUAAUGGUGGGAACUCUAGGGAGACUGCCGGUGAUAAACCGGAGGAAGGUGGGGACGACGUCAAGUCAUCAUGGCCCUUACGAGUAGGGCUACACACGUGCUACAAUGGUACGUACAGAGGGAGGCAAGCUGGCGACAGUGAGCGGAUCUCUUAAAGCGUAUCGUAGUCCGGAUCGCAGUCUGCAACUCGACUGCGUGAAGUCGGAAUCGCUAGUAAUCGCAAAUCAGAAUGUUGCGGUGAAUACGUUCCCGGGUCUUGUACACACCG